GAGAAAUUUGGAUUAAUGCUCCCAUGGUAUUAUCGGGUCACAUGGUUUGAUUAAUUAAAGUUACCGGCGGUAAAAGAUAGAGUAUGCGUCCUAUUAGCUAGAUGGUAAGGUAAUGGCUUACCAUGGCGACGAUAGGUAGGGGUCCUGAGAGGGAGAUCCCCCACACUGGUACUGAGACACGGACCAG
rnacentral:rRNA from 1 species